GAUGAACGCUGGCGGCGUGCCUAAUACAUGCAAGUCGAGCGAACGGACGAGGAGUUUUCUCCUCUUCCGUUAGCGGCGGACGGGUGAUUACCAGGAGUAUAACCUACCUAUAAGACUGGGGUAACUUCGGGAAACCGGAGCCAAUACCGGAUAAGAUAUUGAACGUCAGGGUUCAUUAGUGAAAGAGGUUUUUGCUGACCCUAGUAGAGGUUUCCGCGCCGCAUUAGCUAGUUGGUAAGGUAACGGCUUACCAAGGCAACGAUGCGUAGCCGACCUGAGAGGGUGAUCAGCCACACUGGAACUGAGACACGGUCCAGACUCCUACGGGAGGCAGCAGUAGGGAAUCUUCCGCAAUGGGCGAAAGCUUGACGGAGCAACGCCGCGUGAGUGAUGAAGGUCUUCGGAUCGUAAAACUCUGUUAUUAGGGAAGAACAAAUGUGUAAGUAACUAUGCACGUCUUGACGGUACCUAAUCAGAAAGCCACGGCUAACUACGUG
rnacentral:rRNA from 1 species